CUUAUUGUCACUAUGAAAAGACGAAAAAAAGAGCCUCUCAUUUUUGAUGAGGAGAGGGAUAUUAGAGAAAACAUCGUCAGAUAUGAUGAUGAAGGCGGGGGAGAAGAAGACACAGAAGCUUUUGAUAUGGCUGCACUGAGAAACCUCAAUGUCGUAAGAGACACCAAAACUCGGAGAGAUGUGACUCCUGAAAUUCAGUUUUUGAGUCGACCGACUUUUAAAAACAUCCCAGAUAAUGUCAUUUUUAGGGAAUUUAUUUGGGAAAGACUAAAGGAAGCUGAUGUGGAUCCAGGGGCACCACCAUAUGACUCGCUUCAGACUUAUGCAUUUGAAGGAAAUGGCUCAGUAGCUGAAUCUCUCAGUUCUUUAGAUUCUAACAGCUCGAACUCUGAUCAGAAUUAUGACUACCUUAGUGACUGGGGUCCUCGCUUUAAACGACUGGCUGAAAUGUAUGGAAAUGGCCAAGAGAGUUUGUACUCAUAGCCUUGGAUCCUAAUUUGGAAUGUACUGAAGAAAAAGGCAGCAGAAAAAAAUUCAAAAGGGAAAGAAAAGUGGUAAAUACUACAUAUAGUAAACAGGAAUUCCACUUGUGGGACAAAAAGAGGUUGUAAAUAUGUUUCCAUUUUUAACUGUUAAGGCCUUGUGAAACAUUCACUAGGUUAUCCAAGGGAUUUCACUGACCACAGACUCUGAUCAUUUGUAGUUGUGUUUUUCGUUUGUUUGUUUGUGGUUCCAUAAAAAGAAAUACUUAGUAGAUCGUGGAUAGGUAGCAACUCUCCUAUACCUACAAAGGCAUCUAACAUGCCUGAUAAAGUAAUGUCCUGUGUUGUCAGGGAGCCAAAGGCACCUGGCUCUAACUUUCAUGAUAUCCUAUGUAAGAAAAAUAGAGUCCAGUGCACCAUUCAAAAAGUCCUAGAACUUCUUGCCUAUCAAAACUUGGAAGAAUUUAAUUUCUACUGGAGAUUUUAAGAUUGCUAUAAAAAGAUAGAGUUCAAAAGAAUGUUAUCACUGUUGGCACACAGAAAUAUUUUAUUUAUUAAUAUUUAAAAUCUUAUAAUAACUUCUGUAAGUGAAAAACAAUAAAAAUCAAUAAUUUAAUAUUAAUAAAUUAAUAUAGUCAUUGUUUUACCAAUAUACUAUGUGCAGUGUUCCAAGUAAGAAAAAGGUAAAUGAGUCUCCAAGUUUAAGUAGUUUUGAAACACUAAUGUAUGUAAGAUUUAAAUCAGUAGUUGCUGUCUAUUUGUUAAUUUUUAUUAUCUUCUAAUUUGUACAGGAGAAUAU
rnacentral:lncRNA from 1 species